rnacentral:rRNA from 1 species
UACGUAGGGUGCAAGCGUUGUCCGGAAUUAUUGGGCGUAAAGAGCUCGUAGGCGGUUUGUCGCGUCUGCUGUGAAAACUCGGGGCUUAACCCCGGGCCUGCAGUGGGUACGGGCAGACUAGAGUGCGGUAGGGGAGACUGGAGUUCCUGGUGUAGCGGUGAAAUGCGCAGAUAUCAGGAGGAACACCAAUGGCGAAGGCAGAUCUCUGGGCCGUAACUGACGCUGAGGAGCGAAAGCAUGGGGAGCGAACAGG